GAGACUUUAAGUUAAGACUAAACUAAUAACCUUCAAAGUUAUAUAUAUCUAAGAUUUGAUAAGUCUUA
rnacentral:tRNA from 1 species